GCUCAUGAAGCUGGUCAGGACAGGAAG
rnacentral:SRP_RNA from 1 species